rnacentral:misc_RNA from 1 species
GGGGAACAGCUUGUGGAGUAAGUUUGAAAAUUUUAACUAAUGUAUGGAAGUGUAUUGACUUAAUUAUCAAAUCUAAGACACUUUUCUGAAAGUUUUCUCAUUGUUGAAACUUGAGAUAAAUACUUGACAUUAAGAAGAAAAAUUGUCUUCAUUUUCAAAGUGGAUGCCAUUACAAUUGUGACUGUUGCCGAAUUCCAAAAGGAGCACCAACGUGAUGAAAUGGAAAUGAUAAAUUAGGUGAAAGAAUAUGUUACAACCUUUUCUUUUUUUCCUCCUUUUUGGCAGUGGGUUAUGGAAGGCCCUGCAGACUAUACAGCCAAAUGUGUCCUUGCCACUGACUUUGCUACAUUAAUUCUUCCAAAGAAUUAUGGUCAUAGGCAUGUUUUUCUGCUCACUCUUGUACAUUAGUUUACAGUCAACCCGCCUAGUUAAUUUAAGCAAUUUGUUAUCUGUUAUAUACCCAAAUAAGUUGAGUCAUAUACUGUUCUAAGGUGUGCCCAAACACACAAUUACAUUGCGUACCUGAAUAAUAA